AGCAGCCGCGGUAAUUCCAGCUCCAAUAGCGUAUAUUAAAGUCGUUGCAGUUAAAAAGCUCGUAGUUGAAUUUCGGGAUCAAUUUAUUGGUCGUGCUACUGUACGUACUGGUAUUAUUGAUUCCUACCUUCUGACGAACCAUGAUGUCAUUAAUUUGGUGUCAUGGGGAAUCAGGACUGUUACUUUGAAAAAAUUAGAGUGUUUAAAGCAGGCUCACGCUUGAAUACAUUAGCAUGGAAUAACGAAAUAGGACGUUUGAUUCUAUUUUGUUGGUUUCUAGGAUCGACGUAAUGAUUAAUAGGGAUAGUUGGGGGCAUUAGUAUUCAAUUGUCAGAGGUGAAAUUCUUGGAUUUAUUGAAGACUAACUACUGCGAAAGCAUUUGCCAAGGAUGUUUUCAUUAAUCAAGAACGAAAGUUAGGGGAUCGAAGACGAUCAGAUACCGUCGUAGUCUUAACCAUAAACCUAUGCCGACUAGGG
rnacentral:rRNA from 1 species